GAUGAACGCUGGCGGCGUGCUUAACACAUGCAAGUCGAACGGAAAGGCUCCUGCUUGCCGGGGUACUCGAGUGGCGAACGGGUGAGUAACACGUGGGUGAUCUGCCCUGCACUUCGGGAUAAGCCUGGGAAACUGGGUCUAAUACCGGAUAGGACCACAUUUUGGAUGGUGUGGUGGAAAGUUUUUCGGUGUGGGAUGAGCUCGCGGCCUAUCAGCUUGUUGGUGGGGUAAUGGCCUACCAAGGCGUCGACGGGUAGCCGGCCUGGGAGGGUGUACGGCCACAUUGGGACAGGGGUGCGGCCCAGACUCCUACGGGAGGCAGCAGUGGGGAAUAUUGCACAAUGGGCGCAAGCCGGAUGCAGCGACGCCGCGUGGGGGAUGACGGCCUUCGGGUUGUAAACUCCUUUCGCUAGGGACGAAGCGCAAGGGACGGUACCUGGAGAAGAAGCACCGGCUAACUACGG
rnacentral:rRNA from 1 species